GAUGAACGCUGGCGGCGUGCUUAACACAUGCAAGUCGAACGGAAAGGCUCCUGCUUGCAGGGGUACUCGGGUGGCGAACGGGUGAGUAACACGUGGGUGAUCUGCCCUGCACUUCGGGAUAAGCCUGGGAAACUGGGUCUAAUACCGGAUAGGACCACAUUUUGGAUGGUGUGGUGGAAAGUUUUUCGGUGUGGGAUGAGCUCGCGGCCUAUCAGCUUGUUGGUGGGGUAAUGGCCUACCAAGGCGUCGACGGGUAGCCGGCCUGAGAGGGUGUACGGCCACAUUGGGACUGAGAUACGGCCCAGACUCCUACGGGAGGCAGCAGUGGGGAAUAUUGCACAAUGGGCGCAAGCCUGAUGCAGCGACGCCGCGUGGGGGAUGACGGCCUUCGGGCUGUAAACUCCUUUCGCUAGGGACGAAGCGCAAGUGACGGUACCUGGAGAAGAAGCACCGGCUAACUACGUG
rnacentral:rRNA from 1 species